rnacentral:rRNA from 1 species
GACGAACGCUGGCGGCGUGCCUAAUACAUGCAAGUAGAACGCUGAAGGAGGAGCUUGCUUCUCUGGAUGAGUUGCGAACGGGUGAGUAACGCGUAGGUAACCUGCCUGGUAGCGGGGGAUAACUAUUGGAAACGAUAGCUAAUACCGCAUAAUAGUAGAUGUUGCAUGACAUUUGCUUAAAAGGUGCAAUUGCAUCACUACCAGAUGGACCUGCGUUGUAUUAGCUAGUUGGUGGGGUAACGGCUCACCAAGGCGACGAUACAUAGCCGACCUGAGAGGGUGAUCGGCCACACUGGGACUGAGACACGGCCCAGACUCCUACGGGAGGCAGCAGUAGGGAAUCUUCGGCAAUGGACGGAAGUCUGACCGAGCAACGCCGCGUGAGUGAAGAAGGUUUUCGGAUCGUAAAGCUCUGUUGUAAGAGAAGAACGAGUGUGAGAGUGGAAAGUUCACACUGUGACGGGAUCUUACCAGAAAGGGACGGAGAACUACGU